UUUGUGUUUCUCGCUUUCGUGCCCUGCGCGAGUCUCUCCCUUUUCCGGCGUCUCUCACAGGUUCUCCACCGUCGAGCGAUCCGGCGCCUCCCCACUCGGCAGACUCUCCGGCGCCGACAGCUGCUGCUUCUUCACCUGCUGAAGCUUCUGAUUCGAGACAAUGUAGACUUGGGCACAGCUUGUGGAAAAUAUUUCCGGGUAUGCUGCCUCAGCAUCAUUGACCCAGGUGAUUCGGAUAUCAUUAAGAACAUGCCUGGUGACUCUUAGGCUGUCAACGUCCUGACGCCAUGAGAUUUUGGUCUAGCAUUCGUAGAUUUAUGGGUUUGGGCAAGGAGGGUGCCUCAUGAAAAAGGCACUCUGCUGUUGACAGGGAAAAUCUUAAAUAUCAAGCUAAUGUGAGAUGCAGCUACUGUAACCCAUCUUUAGUUGUUUCAUUUGGCAUUGUUCUAAGAAUUCAUUUUUCCAAUACUAUAAAGAGUUGAACCUUGUGCUUG